rnacentral:rRNA from 1 species
UACGGGGGGGCAAGCGUUGUUCGGGAUUACUGGGCGUAAAGGGCUCGUAGGUGGCCAACUAAGUCAGACGUGAAAUCCCUCGGCUUAACCGGGGAACUGCGUCUGAUACUGGAUGGCUUGAGGUUGGGAGAGGGAUGCGGAAUUCCAGGUGUAGCGGUGAAAUGCGUAGAUAUCUGGAGGAACACCGGUGGCGAAGGCGGCAUCCUGGACCAAUUCUGACACUGAGGAGCGAAAGCCAGGGGAGCAAACGGG